CCAAUUCAGACCAGCUCUGACAAGGCCUCCCUCAGCAGUGGUUAUUUAGGGUGUAGUUUAACAUCAGGGUUACACCACCUUGUACUUGCACCCCUACUGAAGAGAGAUCCUGCCCUCAUCCUCUGCCACACACUGCUGCUCCCUUAGCUCACCUGUCUCACAGAAGACCAAAUAGUUCCUGGGGGAUCUGUGGACUGAGCUGAACUGCUUGCAGCCAUACAGCUGUGUAGUUCUGGCACAAGAAAGGGGACAGGAACACCUGGUGGUAUGAGAAGGAACAAACUGUAUCUCCUGGAUUAGGUGAAACUCUGUAUUUGGGGUCACGUUACAUCAGGCAGCUGAGUCAACCUGUCAGAAGGAGGAGACCUUAUUUCCUCUUCCCAUCCCACUCCUACGCUCCUUCCUCAUCCACAGCAUUUCCCCACAGUUCACUCCUGGAUCUUAUCAGAUUCUACUGACCUGACUCACCUCACUAACCAGGCAGAAACACUGUCCGUUUAGUCCAGUCUUCUGCUGGAAGGGUGAAUUGAUUUGCCUUACGUUGUGGCCUAGCAAGUACCAGAGACACCAGAAGCUCACUGAGGCACUAAAGCUGGCGCAAGAGGAACAGUAGGACCCACAGUAAGAUGCAGCAGGAAUAGGAUCAGCCCUUCCAGCAGCAGCAACGUGUCCUGGUGACUCAGCCCGUCUUGUCCCGCUGCACCUAUGUGGGAGCCAGGACAAGGAGCGUGCUCCUCCUUGCACAAAUCCGUGACAGUCACGUCACACCAUCCCCAGGAUUAUGGCAGUUCUGAGAACAAACUUAAGCAACCACCUUAUUUACCAACGACGUGCUCUAUAAUGUCACUGUAGACAGAAA